rnacentral:rRNA from 1 species
UACGUAGGGUGCAAGCGUUGUCCGGAAUUAUUGGGCGUAAAGAGCUCGUAGGCGGUUUGUCGCGUCGGCUGUGAAAACCUGGGGCUCAACCCCGGGCCUGCAGCCGAUACGGGCAAACUAGAAUUCGGUAGGGGAGACUGGAAUUCCUGGUGUAGCGGUGAAAUGCGCAGAUAUCAGGAGGAACACCGGUGGCGAAGGCGGGUCUCUGGGCCGAUAUUGACGCUGAAGCGCGACAGCGUGGGGAGCAAACAGG